AUUGAACGCUGGCGGCAUGCUUUACACAUGCAAGUCGAACGGUAACAGGCCGCAAGGUGCUGACGAGUGGCGAACGGGUGAGUAAUGCAUCGGAACGUGCCCAGUCGUGGGGGAUAACGCAGCGAAAGCUGCGCUAAUACCGCAUACGAUCUAUGGAUGAAAGCGGGGGACCGUAAGGCCUCGCGCGAUUGGAGCGGCCGAUGUCAGAUUAGGUAGUUGGUGGGGUAAAGGCUCACCAAGCCAACGAGCUGUAGCUGGUCUGAGAGGACGACCAGCCACAAUGGGACUGAGACACGGCCCAGACUCCUACGGGAGGCAGCAGUGGGGAAUUUUGGACAAUGGGCGCAAGCCUGAUCCAGCAAUGCCGCGUGCAGGAAGAAGGCCUUCGGGUUGUAAACUGCUUUUGUACGGAACGAAACGGUCCUGGUUAAUACCCGGGGCUAAUGACGGUACCGUAAGAAUAAGCACCGGCUAACUACGUGCCAGCCGCCGCGGUAACAC
rnacentral:rRNA from 1 species